rnacentral:sRNA from 1 species
UUAUUUUUUAAGACCACUAAUAUUAAACAUAUCAAAUCAUCCUAAUUUAGAAAAGAUUAUAUAAAACCAAAAAUGUUAUGUGGUAUGUAUAAUGUUACUAUAUAUAAAAUAUAAAUGUAUUAGAGAAUGAUAUAAUUUGCAAAACUUUUAUCUAUAAAAAAUAAUUCUUAAAUUUUAAAAAUUACUACUUUAAAAAAAAAUCACGGGACGGGUAAAGAAAUUAUAGAACAGGUUUUAUUUUGGAAUUGGGUUAUAUGGUGGAUGUAUUUGAAUCAAUAUUUAUAAAAUUUUAAAAUAUUAUUAAUAUACUGUUUUAAUAGGGGUUACAACUUCAGUUUUUUAACAAUUGUUUCAUAAAUUCGUGGUAUAGCCUUACUUAAUAACAAUUAUAAACUGAAAAAU